CACAUCACGCAACUGGCUGCAAUCAGAAGAACGGCGAGGGUCUCCUCAUCGUUGAUCUCUCUGUAUCCACCAGCCGCACCAACAGGUGAGCGGGCACAUGAUACCCUGCUCCCAGAUUAGCUUAAGCCAGAGAAACCAAAGCUGGGUUAGUAAGUUCGGAGUAAAAAUAGAAGAACAGAUAAGUGAUGCAGUGGACAGCUAAUUUUCCGACAUAGUAACAUCACAGCAAAAACUGUGGGUAUUACCUAGCACAAAUUGCAAUACCAGAAGGAAACAUCUCAGAUAGACCAAUAAAAUUUGGAUAACAAUGUGCACUCAGUUGCACAUUAAGUUGCUCAUGACAUAAAUGUCUGGAAAACAAACUUCCCGCCUCAGAGAGAAAAGCAAAUACGUAGAAAUACUUCGGGUUUCAUCAUUUCAUAAAAAGAAGAUUAUUGAAUCAUAGGUACUGGGGUAUGGUUAUCAUAGAAAUGUAUUAGCUUUGACAUCAGGAAGGACUCUGCUACUAACAGUUCAUUAAUCCUUAAAACAAUGCUGUAUAUAGUUUCAGUUUCAAAAUGUGACUCGUUCCCUGCAAAGAACUCAUGCACGCAUCCAUCCAGUUCAAUGAAAGAGCUACCAGGCUGCUUGGUCUUUCUGUUACUGUAUAUUCCUGUCCUCACUUUAUUUGCAUCAACACACCUUGAUGUGGUAGCAUAGACAGUUGUUUGGCUCCAAUACUUGGAUCCUUUCUACUACAUAUACUCUGCAAGUCCCACUUCUCCGCAAGCUCUGCAGGCAAACAACAACGACCGCCACAUUACCACAUCAGGAGCGAUGGGCAUAGGCCGACAGGCACGGCGUCGUCACCCAAAUAGCAGGAAGACGCAACCUUGUAUCGCAGGAUGGCCUUCAUGGAGAACUGACCCAAAGAUGAUGUUGUAGAUCUUGUGAAUGGGCGCCCACCACAAGUCCAGCACUCCACCAUCCGCAGCCGCCGUGAGCCCGCCAGCACUGGCCACAUGCCCUACCGUAAAACGCUGCACACUACUGCCUGCAACGCUGCUAGACCCAUAGCCUGCAGGCCACCAUCAUAGUCGCCACUAACCCGGGUCUUGACUUUGACCCUGCCCUUUUAAUCAAGUUCAUAGUUCCCAGAUCUUUGGGUCUGAAUGUGAUGGCAAUCUGCAUCAUGGUGAACAUAAUGACUUUGACCCUGCCCUGCUUGUUGCUUUUAGUGAACUCGGUGUGCUUGGCAUUGGCGAUGUAAAUACCGUCGAGCCACGUCUCAUACUGGAAACAUAAUGGGCCCCACAUUCAUUUUUAUCUCGAAAUAGAUAUAUAGAUGCGAAACAAAAUUCGACACUUGGUUGCUCUACUUUUAAAAGAAUCAAUACCAUUGCAAAGCUUGUGACAAAGACUGCAAUAUUCAAGUUGGGGACAUGAAUAAAUUAUUAACCAAUUAGUCCCAGAUCUCAAUGUAAACUGCUGCCUUUAUUUCCAAAAUACCAACUGCAUCUAUUGUGUGCGAUUUAUUCCAAUCAACACAUCAAACUAUCAUCUUAGGUAUAAUCUAGAUGUUACCUUUGACAUGUAGCUGGUCAAUUUGACUUCAACUUGAGAACUCCGAUGAGUAUUUUUCUCAGUGGAUGCCUGCUUCUUUGUUUGGCUAUGCACGCACACAUCAGCCUGAACCAGCACCGCUAGGAGCCAGCUCCAGCUCAACCCGCACCGCACUAAUGCAAUCCCAG
rnacentral:lncRNA from 1 species